GGGCCCGCACAAGCGGUGGAUUAUGUGGUUUAAUUCGAAGCAACGCGCAGAACCUUACCUGGGCUUGAACUCCCACGAACUUUUCGUAAUGGAGAAGGUGCCCUCACGGGAAUGUGGAGAGAGGCGCUGCAUGGCUGUCGUCAGCUCGUGUUGUGAAAUGUUGGGUUAAGUCUCGCAACGAGCGCAACCCCCGUUCUUAGUUGCUACUAUUAAGUUAAGCACUCUAAGAAGACUGCCUGGGUUAACCAGGAGGAAGGUGGGGAUGACGUCAAGUCCUCAUGGCCCUUAUGUCCAGGGCUACACACGUAAUACAAUGAUUAAUACAAAGGGAUGCCAACUCGUAAGAGGGAGCUAAUCUCAAAAAAUUAUCUCAGUUCGGAUUGGAGUCUGCAACUCGACUCCAUGAAGUUGGAAUCGCUAGUAAUCGCGGAUCAGCACGCCG
rnacentral:rRNA from 1 species